rnacentral:rRNA from 1 species
GCUCGUAGUUGGAGUUCUGGUUUAAUGCACCUGGCCCGCGGCCCACAACGGAUCUUUUACUUUGAAAAAAUUAGAGGAAUACAUUAGCUGGAAUACUAAUCUAGGUUCGGUUCUAUUUUGUUGCUUUCGAUAACUGAAGUAAUGAUUGCUAGAGAUAGUUGGGGGUGCUAGUAUUGGCCGGUCAAGGUAAAAUUCUUGCAUUCACCAAGGAUGUCUUCUUCUGUCUCUUAUACACAUCUCCGAGCCCACGAGACAGAUGAGGA